UGCUGUUCUCAGAUCCCUGGAUUGCAGAACCCAAGAGCACUACAAAACAGUUGCUAUUUUACAUUGCCAAGUUUGGGAUUGCUUGUGGCAUCAAGGACAGGAAAUUCCAAGCUCUUGGUCAAUGCUUAGUCAUAGUGUCCUGGGUUUGUUUUCAGAGAAAACACAUGACAGAGUGGCCCCUUUUCUCUCUUACCUCUCCAGUGACUGCAGCGGGAAGUGCCAAGGGCCAGACAGGCUUUCUCUCGGAAAGUUCUCUCUUCCUAAUACAGCAACCAGGCUUGGCUGGUUUUGUGCUGAGCACUGCAGACAAACAGGGUCCCUUGUGCUGUGACUCCAUUUCCUCCUGCUAUUGUAGGAAUUCUCUGGCCUGGUUGAUGGAGUCAAGCUUAAGGUCUGGUUGUGAGUGCAUAAAAAGGAAUAUACUGCCCAGCACUUGGUUCUAAGCUCUGAGCUGCCUUAUGCAUAUUCUCAUAAAUUCUCAUGAAGAAUUACCUAUUGAGUCCAACAUAGUUUAAUGGAAUUCUGUUUGGAGGCUUGGAACCAAAGUCCCAAUUAAUAAUAAAGCGUUACUUUGCUUUCCUUUGCCAGUUUAGCCUAUGCAUGUAUUUUCCUUAGAGAGCCCAUGGAGGAGAGAGAGGUGGCUAAAACAAGAAGAGAUCUGAUGACUGCAUCUCCUGGCCAAAGACAACUCUGAUAGCUUCGAUGAGGAUGACUGCAUCUCUUGGCCAAAGACCACUCUGAUAGCUUCCAUGAGGAUGACUGCAUCUCCUGGACAAAGACCACUCUGAUAGCUUCCAUGAGAGCUCCCUGGGGCAUCCAUGGAGAAGAUAUUUUUGAGGGAGAAAUCCCCAAUGCAUCUUGAAUCUUGCAGCCCACACAGGGAUUUCCUACAAGCAAACCCAGCCUUGAGCUAUAAAGACCUGAUCACUUUCCUGGGUGAAGACAGCAGACUGACUCAGUUAUUCUGUGGAUAGGUGACUUGAUCAAUGAGUUGGCGAGAAAUCUAAGAUGUGUCUUUCAGGCGCAUAUCUCAGAUUUGUAAAAUUAUUAUUUAUUUAUUUAAUUUUUUUUUUUGGGAUAGAGACUCACUCUGUCACCCAGGCUGGAGUGCAGUGGCACGAUCUCAGCUCAAUACAACCUCCACCUCCCAGGUUCAAAUGAUUCUCCUGCCUCAGCCUCCUGAGUAGCUAGGAUUACAGGUGCCUGCCACCAUGCCCAGCUAAUCUUUGUAUUUUUAGUAGAGACGGGGUUUCACCAUAUUGGCUGGGCUGGUCUCCAACUCCUGACCUCGGGUGAUCCUCCCGCCUCAGCCUCCCAAAGUGCUGGGAUUACAGGCUUGAACCACCGUGCCUGGCCUCAGAUUUGUAAGAUAAUUUACACAAGACUCGGUGUCUCUGCAUCUCACACUGGUUGUAUAUUGCAUUAAACGGGUGAUAAUUCUCCCCUAAUCAAACUGUGCCCAUAUGCUGGCAAGGACAUUCAUGUUAUGAAGACAAGAGGUAGCUGAAAAAUAAAGAGACAAUAGCCACGAGACAGACCCAGAGGUCAGGCAGGGCAGGCUUGCCGUGAGGACACGGCUCAUCCCACGGGGCCUGGGAACUGGCGGUCACAGCAGUGCAAGGUCCUGUUCUCUCCUCCGCAGGGACAGACAGGCCACCAGCCUGACAGAGACGGCACUGGGGGCAGCUGCCAGGAACAAGCAGGGAUUACACUAGGAUUUCUCAAAACCCGUCUCACAGAAUACACGUUUUAUUAAAAACUACUACAUGAAGAUUCUGUGUUCAAGUGAGUUUUGGAAUGAGGAAGAUCUGCAGCCAGUUUCACAUGUAGAUUUCUCCAAAGGAUUUGGCCACAGACAUUUAAUUCUGGGAAACUUAAAGGCAUGCUGAUCAUCUCAAGGACAAUGAGCUCCAAGCAAGGAUGGUGCAGGAAGAGCUCAGGACGGAUCUUGCCACCUCCAUCUUAGCCAGAGGGUUUUCCUGAGCUCAGGAGCCAAGCUUCUCAGACCCAUUCUUGCACACUGCAAAUUUCUAAUCCAUUGCUAAGGGCCACUAAUCCCAAACUGAAUUUAGAGAAACAAACAGGAAUAGAUGCUUUUUAAAAUACUUACCAACAUUCAUAUUUCUUCUCUGAUUUUGAAAAACAUAAUUAAUAAUAAAACACUUGGGAUCAUGCAGCAAAGAUACUUUAUGGGAAUAUUUAUUAUGCAAAUAACUAAAUUAAUUGCAUACAUUUGCAUCCUAUUAAGCAUUGAAAAGUAAAGCAGCUUUAAUAGAAUUAAAUCUACUUUUACCAAAAUGAUCUCAUCUGGCAGGAAGAGUUAGGGCAAGAUUGGUUUGGAUUGAGAUUUUCCAUCCUGCUUAGGAAUUCUAAAGUUCUAUAGAAUGAAAGUUUUUCUUGAUAAUAAUUUUUAAAUCAUAAAAAUGAAAGAAAUGUUAUUAGAAGUCCUACGAUUUCACCACCAACUUCAAUGCCCUAAUGUGGCUAUCCAUACUGCUUUUCCAAUAUCUUCCAAACGUCGAUUAUGGAUUUAUAUAAGUUUUUUCUACUAAAUUAUGUCUUACAGACAUUAUUGAAACAGUAUACUUGCUAAACAUCUGUGAAUUUUGUGUAAGAGUAAGGUCCCAAGAUUUUCUAAAGUUUGAAAGACAGUCAUGCUCUGGAGUCACCCUCUGGGCUCGAUGCGAUGGUGCCCAACGAAUACCUCCAGCCUGCUGGGGCUGGAGCUCCUGUCUCAGUCUAACCCUGCCCAGUAAGGAGCUGACUCAGCCCACACUGCUCAGGAGGCCCUGGGGCCCUCUGGGCUUGCAGGUAUUCCUGCCCUCAGCUGGGGCCAGCCCAGGCUUCGGUGAUGCGGUUUCCUCUUCAGAGGGCACUCUCGGGCCUCUCUCAGGACGUCUCCACCCCACACACGCUGCUGCCCACACCUCCUUUCAGGGAAGGGGCGCAGAUACCUCCCAUCUUCUUUCCUACACCUCAGCUUUGCUCCCUUCCCCUUUUACUCUGCACACCAUGGCAAUUUUCACCCCUUUUUGGACAAAAAUUUCCUGACAGGACUUAACCUCCCUGGCACUUAAAAUCUGAACUCUAACCUAUGUUAUUUGCAACAGAAAGAAAAGUGCUUUUAUCUGUCCUUUCAGGUAAAUUAUUUAUUUAUGUUUUUCUUUAUAGCGCCACCGUUCAGAUUUGCUGGAUUUGGAGACAAAAUCCAGGUUUGAAUUGUGAUUCUAUUUCUUACUGCUCCGUGGCCUGGGGCAGCCAGGUCAGCUCUCUGAGCCCUGUGGUCUGCAUGGCUGAGUGAGAAUGCCCACCUCCACUGAGAACCAGCCAGUGAGGUGCCAGCAACCCAUCUAACACAGGCAAAGAGGAUUUCUUAAUGAAAACAUUUUGUCUUGCACAAAACAAUACUCAAUUUAAGAAACAGCAAAUGCAGAAAAGGAAAAAGAGGAUUAGAAAACUAUAGAAAGAGCUCAGUGCAUGGCAAGAGUUUAAUGAAUAUUAGUUCUUCCCAUUUAGUUUUGCUUUCCAACCCACUAAGCAUGCUUCGAAAGACAGAGAAGAAAGAGGGGUUACAGCAAAAGCAGUGAUAAGAGUUUCUUGCAUCUUCACAGAUCAAGCAUCUUGGUCUGCAACCAGGUUUGUCUGAACAAAGGGUUAGGAGCCAAAGUUUGGGGUGGUGAAAGCCAUGGGGCCCAUGUUAGGCUGAGGACAAGUGUGCAUAUGGGUGGCAGGUGGCUUUGCCCAGAAUGAACUGGAGGGUGACGAUCCUGGAUCUGGCAGUGAAGCGGCAGUGUCUCUGCUCAGCCGGAGCGGGAGGUGUGGAGCCACUUCGUCACACUCUCAGCUGCACGGCUUUGGGCCACAGCCUGUAGACACCGGUGGAAUCUGCUCAGAGCUUUGAAGAGAGGAUUCCCAGAGCCAAGCUAUGGAUGGGACUAGGAAGCGAGUGACCAAGAACAGCUGCUCUUCACCUCCACGGGCAGGGUGGGGCGGGGUGGGAGGUGAGCUUUGCCGAAAGCCAGGCUGAAGGUGAUGCAAUGACCGCACCAUGGCCAGGAGCAGAACCACACGUUCUUUUUGGUUUCUGUGUAACUCUUGCCAAAUUUACAAUAAACCCUGCAAAUCUGCUGGAGCCUCUCUCUUUCUUUCCCAACCUUUGCAAGGACCUGUCUUGAAACUCCUUGCCUGAUUCCCCGCUUCUUGUUUUUCCCUGUUCCUCCUGCUCCCUUUUUCUUUUCAGCUUUCUCUCCAAUCAUGUUCCUGUCUAUUCUUUUUCUUUUUGCUACCCUGCAUGGUGAAUAUUUGCUAUUUUCCUGCUCAGCAGAACCUGCUCUCCCCACUCUCAGCCCGUGAGUGGGUGGGUGGGGCUGACCUUAGCACCUGGUGAUGUCACUUGAGAACCUAGUUGGCUGGGCCCAGACUUAUUAGGUGGUCAAGUCAAUAAAUGCCCAUUAUCAUGUUUAAGCUGCUUGUGGCUGGGUUUUCCUGCUUGGCACCAAGAGGCCUGAGUCAUUUGCAUCCUCGGGACCGGCCCCUGCCCCAUCUCCAGCUUACACCUCACCCCAUUCCCACCCCUAAACUACAGUCAGGCCGAGGUGCUGACAGGCUGCCCCUGUGCCACGCCACUGCUGCCCCUCAGUAGGUCCCUGCCCUCCUGGCACUUCUUGGUGUCAUGGUUUUCUGAGCCACAAUGCUGUUCUAAUUGUGAGGCAGUGGCAUCUGCCUGGCUUCCUCCCCAGCCCCAGCCCCUGCCAUGGGGACUCUGCCUGAGCUCUGAGGGCAGGUGGGGCACCCUGCUCCUGGCACAGGCACUAUUUCCACCUCUCUUCUUCAUUGCUAUCCGGCUUUCCCUUGCUUUUAUCCCCUCCCCUUCUCCUGCUUCCCACUGGUCAACUCUUCUCCCAGGGCCUCCCAGGGCCUAGGUCUGAGCAGUGGAGACCUCCAUGAGCAGGCAGAGGGCAACCAGGCAGGCUCCAUCCAGAAGAGAACAGGCCUGGACCAGAUGCAGAUUCUCCCAGGCUCUGCAGGGCCUGGCAGGGAAACUGCUGCUCCUGAGCUGCCUUCAGGGGAGUCCUCAGAAUAAGGGGAGCUAUCAACAGGCAGAGCAGUGUUUACGAGGACAGUUAUGAUCUUGUCACUGUCCUCAAGGAGCUUCAGGUCCAGGAAAGAAAAAUGAGCCACCUGUGAAGCAGAAUUGUGUAAUCACCUGGCGAGCAGGGAGGAGCCCCCCAGACACCACAAAGACAGGGAGCACUGGGAGGGAGAAGCGGGGCCAGGCUGGGGAGACCUGCAGAAUGGGGCGGGGCUUCUGGUUUCAAUGUUUACUUGCUGAGUGGCCUUGGACAAGUUAUUUCAUCUGCCUGAGCCUUACUUUCCUCAUCUGUAACAUGAAAAUGCCAAAUAUACCAGCACCUGGAUUGCCACGAGGAUGAGGUGAUUACAAUGCGUAUGGUCCUGAAACAGUGGUGUCCCUCUCCCCACCCUGCCAUUACCCAACCUCUGGUCUUCAAAUCGACCCUAUAAGGUAGGUAUUUUUACGUUCGCUUUGCAGAUGAGAAAACCAAAGCUCUGUGUAAUGACACAUCCCGGAAAUGUGAGGACAGGUUUCAAAUCCAGGUGUGUCUGGUCAAACCUGAGCGUUCCCUCCAGCCCUGCUGCCCCCUUUCUGCAUGUGAUCUUGGCUGGGGUCAGUGUCUGGCAAGCACACUGUCUGGCUGGCUCAGGCCUUUUGCCCCAGCUGUGGCCUUCACCCCCAACUAAUUAACUAACUGACAAGCUGUUUAUGAAGCUGCACUCCUGGUGACGUUGUUGGUGGCUGUGAUAAUCAUCCUGUUUUUCCACUUAUUCAGCCACCUUCUGAAGGGUCCUUUUAUGGGACCCUUUUAUGGAUUAUCAUUGUUCUGGGCAGUUUAUUAUGCAAAUGAAGCCUCAAAGUGCUCGAUGCUGUCUGCUGAAAUGUGCUUUAUAAGAUAAUACAUUUUUUUCCACAAACCAAAAUAAACUAGUGUAAAUGACAAUGGAACGAGAAAAGCUUUGCUCUUUAUAAAAAGGGCCGUGUGAGAUUCUUUGAAACUGAACGCCGGCGGAGUCUGACUCUGACCCUGGAUGAAGAGAUGCUGCUCUUUUAAGCGAGGGAUUUCUUUUCGGAAGAGGCUUUGUGAGCAUGGAACAGCGAAGCCCGGGAUGGGAACCAAGAAAGGUCACCGAAAUGUAGACACCCUGGCCUCAGUCUCUGGAGUUCAAAAAGGCUGCGGUCAAUUGUUGGAAUUUCUUUUCACAUGAAGAAAUCUACAUUCUGUGUAAAUAAAC
rnacentral:lncRNA from 10 species